rnacentral:rRNA from 1 species
UACAGAGGGUGCUAGCGUUGUUCGGAAUUAUUGGGCGUAAAGGGCUCGUAGGCGGUUUGUCGCGUCGGGAGUGAAAACCUCGGGCUUAACUCGGGGCUUGCUUUCGAUACGGGCAGACUGGAGGUAGGUAGGGGAGAACGGAAUUCCUGGUGUAGCGGUGAAAUGCGCAGAUAUCAGGAGGAACACCGGUGGCGAAGGCGGUUCUCUGGGCCUUACCUGACGCUGAGGAGCGAAAGCGUGGGGAGCGAACAGG